AUUGAACGCUGGCGGCAGGCCUAACACAUGCAAGUCGAGCGGAUGAAGGGAGCUUGCUCCUGGAUUCAGCGGCGGACGGGUGAGUAAUGCCUAGGAAUCUGCCUGGUAGUGGGGGAUAACGUCCGGAAACGGGCGCUAAUACCGCAUACGUCCUGAGGGAGAAAGUGGGGGAUCUUCGGACCUCACGCUAUCAGAUGAGCCUAGGUCGGAUUAGCUAGUUGGUGGGGUAAAGGCCUACCAAGGCGACGAUCCGUAACUGGUCUGAGAGGAUGAUCAGUCACACUGGAACUGAGACACGGUCCAGACUCCUACGGGAGGCAGCAGUGGGGAAUAUUGGACAAUGGGCGAAAGCCUGAUCCAGCCAUGCCGCGUGUGUGAAGAAGGUCUUCGGAUUGUAAAGCACUUUAAGUUGGGAGGAAGGGCAGUAAGUUAAUACCUUGCUGUUUUGACGUUACCAACAGAAUAAGCACCGGCUAACUUCGUGCCAGCAGCCGCGGUAAUACGAAGGGUGCAAGCGUUAAUCGGAAUUACUGGGCGUAAAGCGCGCGUAGGUGGUUCAGCAAGUUGGAUGUGAAAUCCCCGGGCUCAACCUGGGACUGAUCCAAAACUACUGAGCUAGAGUACGGUACAGGGUGGUCGGAAUNCCUGUGUACGGUGAAAUGCGUAGAUAUCAGGAAGGAACACCAGUGGCGAAGGCAACACCUGGACUGAUACUGACCUUGAGGUGCGAAAAGCGUGGGGAGCAACGGGAUUAGAUACCCGGGUUAGUCCAACGCCGUAACGGAUGUCGAUACCGUGGGAUCCUUGAAUCUAUGGGGCA
rnacentral:rRNA from 1 species